rnacentral:rRNA from 1 species
GGACGAACGCUGGCGGCGUGCUUAACACAUGCAAGUCGAGCGGAAAGGCCCUUCGGGGUACUCGAGCGGCGAACGGGUCGAGUAACACGUGAGAAACCUGCCCUGGACUUUGGGAUAACCCUCGGAAACGGGGGCUAAUACCGGAUAUGACAUUCGACCGCAUGGUUGUUUGUGGAAAGUUUUUCGGUCUGGGUAGUGGUCGUCGCGGCCUAUCAGCUUGUUGGUGGGGUAAUGGCCUACCAAGGCGACGACGGGUAGCCGGCCUGAGAGGGCGACCGGCCACACUGGGACUGAGACACGGCCCAGACUCCUACGGGAGGCAGCAGUGGGGAAUAUUGCACAAUGGGCGGAAGCCUGAUGC